UCCGUCGAUAGCUCAGUUGGUAGAGCGGUGGACUGUAGAUCCAUAGGUCCAUAGGUCGGUUCAACUCCGGCUCGUGAAA
rnacentral:tRNA from 1 species